AUUGUGAAUACAUUACCUUCUACUCCUUUUGUCCCAACUUAGGCUUUUCUCUGGGAAAUUUCUGAAUACGAGUUGACAUAACUGUUAUCUAAGCUUCCACAGAUGUGGGUAAAAGGGUCCCCUAGUUCCUGUACAAGUAUUCCAGGAGCCAAUCAUAGCUUCCAAAUUGCCUAGCACUGCCCAGGGGGGAUGUGUCUGUGGAAUCCACCUUUCAUCCUCUGAGGGAGUAAAUUCUUAUCAAAGGAUUCACAGGUUUAUGACUGAUUGAGUUAAAAGGGUGGAGCUCUCUAAAGUGUCAGGAGCAAAUUAUGGUCCAUUCUGAUGGCUGAGAACCUUUUGCCCCUGCUACCAGAACACACUUGCCAUCCUGCUUGCCCUUCAUCCUGAUGACUAGCUUGGUACUCAAUAUGACAAAUGAUGUUGAUGCCCAGUGGAGACUGACCCUUGAAACUCAGGAAGAUCACAUGCGAGAGAAAAGGUUCAAGAAGAAUCUCUGAGUUGGUUAGGAGUUGGAAUCCAGGCCAGAUGUUGCUGCCCAACCAGCAUUAAUGGCUCAACUCAAGGAACAAAGAACCAUCUUCACAAGCCUUCAGCCCAGCAAAAGAUUUAUCCAUGCUACAUCUUGAUGUGAAGUUGGUGGGACCAAUGCUUUAUAAAAGGCAAGCUAAGUUUUGAGUCAAUUCUGCUAGAGACAGAGAUGGUGUUAUGAAAUGUAUACCCAGAGUUAUUAG
rnacentral:lncRNA from 1 species